rnacentral:misc_RNA from 1 species
GAGGAACCCUCACGCACUGCGAACUCCGGUUCCAUUUCAAAACGAUCCUCAAAUUCAAAUCGGAGUAACAAUAGCAACAAGAAGAAGAAGAAGACGAGUCAAAAUACCCUAGGCAUGGCCUGGGGUGCCAAUUCUCGCUCUGCUUCUCGUCCCGCCUUCAGUACUUCACCUUUCUCCAAUUUUGGCAGGCAAAAUAUUACUUGCACUAAUUUUCCAAAGUUUUCUACAUUAUCUUGA